UACGAAGGGGGCUAGCGUUGUUCGGAAUCACUGGGCGUAAAGCGCACGUAGGCGGCUUUCUAAGUCGGGGGUGAAAUCCUGGAGCUCAACUCCAGAACUGCCUUCGAUACUGGAGAGCUUGAGUCCGGGAGAGGUGAGUGGAACUGCGAGUGUAGAGGUGAAAUUCGUAGAUAUUCGCAAGAACACCAGUGGCGAAGGCGGCUCACUGGCCCGGUACUGACGCUGAGGUGCGAAAGCGUGGGGAGCAAACAGG
rnacentral:rRNA from 1 species